UGCAGAUGAUGUCUUUUCACGAAGGUCUUCAGAUGCUCACCCGAGGCACUGCUGAGAAAGACACUUGGCAGAGCAGAUCCAGAAGA